CGUGGGGCCAUGGUGGCCUUGCAGGCAGGGAAGACCCUUCUCCCUCCUCUCUGCAGUAUCUUUGCCUGUCACAGUUGUCAGCUCGCCCCCAAGAGCGGCUCCCAGUGGAGUCUCAAGAUUCUGUCCUCCAAGAAAGUCUUGCCAUGAUUGGAUAGGACCCCCAGAUAAAUAUUCAAACCUUUGACUUGUUCACUUUUACAUACCUGAAAAUGAAUCACUAUUGGAACAAAAGCUUAGAAAAUUAAGACAAGAAACACAAGAAUGGAAUCAACAGUUCUGGGCAAACCAGAAUUUGACUUUUAGUAAGGAAAAAGAAGAAUUUAUUUACUCAAGACUAAAAACUAAAGGCCUGGCCCUGAGAACUGAAUUGGGUCAGAAAACAACAUUGAAUGCAGAAGAAAUGGUGGACUUUUACAAGGAAUUUUUAAGUAAAAAUUUUCAGAAGCACAUGUAUUAUUACAGAGACUGGUACAAGCACAACUUUGCUAUCACCUUCUGCAUGGGAAAAGUGGCCCUGGAAAGGAUCUGGAACAAGCUUAAACAGAAACAAAAGAAGAUGAACAACUAGAAAUCCACCCUGACCCAGCCAGAGUCCAGGUUUCCAAAGGAAGCAGAUGGUUAGAGGGCUCCUUUCACAGGGGCUCUGAGAAAAAGUGGAAGUGAUCCCAAGAAGCCGACAUCUUCCCAGGAGGCCCGUGGCCUGUUUGGGCACAGGGUGGGUCCUAGGGCACCGUAGGCUGACUGGGUCCCACGUAUAUGGGCUCUAGGUCAGCUUGUUGACACGAAUGUGUUGUUAAAUAAAGCCCUAGCACUGGG